rnacentral:rRNA from 1 species
AGUGGUGAAAUAUUCGGGCUCAACCNGGGAUACUGCCAUUGAUACUGUAUAGCUGGAAUAUGGUUGCUGUGGGUGGAAUGUGUGGUGUAGCGGUGAAAUGCAUAGAUAUCACACAGAAUAUCGAUUGCGAAGGCAACUCACAAAGCCAUUAUUGACGCUGAUGCACGAAAGUGUGGGGAUCAAACAGGAUUAGAUACCCUGGUAGUCCACACUGUAAACGAUGAUAACUAGCUGUCGGCGAUAGAUAGUCGGUGGCUAAGCGAAAGCGAUAAGUUAUCCACCUGGGGAGUACGACCGCAAGGUUGAAACUCAAAGGAAUUGACGGGGGCCCGCACAAGCGGAGGAACAUGUGGUUUAAUUCGAUGAUACGCGAGGAACCUUACCCGGGCUCGAACGGUGCAGGAAUAUGGUAGAGAUAUCAUAGCUAGCAAUAGUCUGUAUCGAGGUGCUGCAUGGUUGUCGUCAGCUCGUGCCGUGAGGUGUCGGCUUAAGUGCCAUAACGAGCGCAACCCUUGUCGUUAGUUACCAUCAAGUAAAGUUGGGGACUCUAGCGAGACUGCCACCGUAAGGUGUGAGGAAGGGGGGGAUGACGUCAAAUCAGCACGGCCCUUACGUCCGGGGCGACACACGUGUUACAAUGGUAGGUACAGAGGGGCGCUAUCCAGUGAUGGAGUGCGAAUCUCAAAAACCUAUCUCAGUUCGGAUUGGAGUCUGCAACUCGACUCCAUGAAGUUGGAUUCGCUAGUAAUCGCGCAUCAGCCAUGGCGCGGUGAAUACGUUCCCGGGCCUUGUACACACCGCCCGUCAAGCCAUGGAAGCCGGGGGUGCCUGAAGUUCGUGACCGCAAGGAGCGACCUAGGGCAAAACUAGUAACUGGGGCUAAGUCGUAACAAGGUAACC